rnacentral:lncRNA from 1 species
CUCGGCCUCGGGGUGCUCGUCCGGCUCCUCGGCCACGCUGCCGAAGCUGCUGGCGCUGGAGGACGAGCGGGAGAAGUCCCGCGGAGGCUCCGGCCUCUCCGCCCUGCCAAGGGACACACCUGGCCCCCUGUCACCCUGGCCCCAAGCCACCCCGCCCCGGUGUCACCCCAUCCCCGGGCCACCCUGUCCCCACAUUGUCACCGCACCACCCUGUCCCCAUGCCACCCAGCCCUGGGCCACCCAAGCGCCACGCUGUCCCCACCCCAUCAUGUCCCCAACCUUGUCCUCGUGCCACCCUGUCCCCGUGACAUCCCGUCCCCGUGCCACCCCAUCCGUGUGCCACCUUGUCCCCGUGCUGCCACAUCCCUGUGCCACCGGCCGCUGCUGUGACCCUGUCCCUGUGCCACCCCCCCGCUGCUGUCCUGCCCCGUGCUGCCCCAUCAUGCUGUCCCCGUGCCCUGUCCUGGUGCCACCCCAUCCAUGUGCAUCCAUGAUGACCCUGUGUCCCUAUGUUCCUGUGUCCCCAUGUCCCUGUAACCCUGUGUCCCCAUAACUCUGUCCCCAUGUCCCCACAUCCACAUAUCCCUAUGUCUCCAUAUCCCCAUGUCUCUGUGUCCCCAUGUCCCAAUGUCUCCAUGCACCUGUAUCCCCAUGUCCCAGUAUCCCCGUGUCCCCCGUCCAUGUGUCUCUGUAUUUCCAUGUCCCCUUGUCCCGUGUCCCCAUGUCCCAACAUCUCCAUGUCCAUGUGUCCCUGUGUCCCCAUGUCCAUGUGUCCCCGUGUCCCCAUGUCCCGUGUCCCCGUGUCCCCAUGUCCCAACAUCUCCAUGUCCCCUGUCCCCAUGUCCCCUGUCCCCGUGUCCCCCAUCCGUGUGUCCCCAUAUUUCCAUGCCCAUGUGUCCCCGUGUCCCGUGUCCCCACGUCCCAAUAUCUCCAUGUGUCCCCUGUCCCCGUGUCCCCUCUCCCGGCGCCCCGCACGGGACCUGUCCGGGUGCCGGCGGCUCUCUGGGGAGCUGUGCGCGGAGCCGGCGCCGUCGGUGUUGGCGGCGGGGCCGUCCCUAGGGGACAGCGGCGGGCGGUGAGGGGACACCGGGGCCGGGGGCAGCCCCGCGCCCGCUCCCGGCGCGCACCUGCCGGGCGGCGCCUCCUGGAUGCUCUCGAUGCCGAUGGCGCUGGAGCGGCGGGAGCCGAGCGGGCCGGGCCGCCGCCGGGACGGGCUCUUCCCGGGCACCAGCAGCGCCUGCGGGAGCGCGGUCAGC